rnacentral:rRNA from 1 species
UACAGAGGGGGCAAGCGUUGUUCGGAAUUACUGGGCGUAAAGGGCGCGUAGGCGGCCUCUUAAGUCGAACGUGAAAUCCCCGGGCUCAACCCGGGAACUGCGUCCGAUACUGGGAGGCUUGAAUCCGGGAGAGGUGAGUGGAAUUCCGAGUGUAGAGGUGAAAUUCGUAGAUAUUCGGAGGAACACCAGAAGCGAAGGCGGCUCACUGGCCCGAGACUGACGCUGAGGCGCGAAAGCGUGGGGAGCAAACAGG